rnacentral:rRNA from 1 species
UGCUUAACACAUGCAAGUCGAACGGGGUCCAAGCAGUGGCAACACUGUGGAAGACCGAGUGGCGAACGGGUGAGUAACACGUGAGGAACCUGCCCCGGACUCUGGGAUAACUCUCCGAAAGGAGGGCUAAUACCGGAUGCCGUCGUUGCACCGCAUGAUGCGACGACGAAAGAAUUUCGGUCCGGGAGGGCCUCGCGGCCUAUCAGCUUGUUGGUGGGGUAACGGCCUACCAAGGCUCCGACGGGUAGCUGGUCUGAGAGGACGAUCAGCCACACUGGGACUGAGACACGGCCCAGACUCCUACGGGAGGCAGCAGUGGGGAAUCUUGCGCAAUGGGCGAAAGCCUGACGCAGCAACGCCGCGUGCGGGAUGAAGGCCUUCGGGUUGUAAACCGCUUUCAGCAGGAACGAAUCUGACGGUACCUGCAGAAGAAGGUCCGGCCAACUACGUGCCAGCAGCCGCGGUAACACGUAGGGACCGAGCGUUGUCCGGAUUUAUUGGGCGUAAAGAGCUCGUAGGCGGUUCGGUAAGUCGGGUGUGAAAACUCUGGGCUCAACUCGGAGACACCACCCGAUACUGCCGUGACUCGAGUGCGGUAGGGGAGCAUGGAAUUCCUGGUGUAGCGGUGAAAUGCGCAGAUAUCAGGAGGAACACCGGUGGCGAAGGCGGUGCUCUGGGCCGUGACUGACGCUGAGGAGCGAAAGCGUGGGGUAGCAAACAGGAUUAGAUACCCUGGUAGUCCACGCCGUAA